CCAGCCACGAUCGACUUUACUCCGGACUCCUUUUGGGCUUCGUCGACAUCCAAGCUUUCCCAACAACAGGGCUUCUGUAGUAGCCAGGUUCCAUCCAAGUUUCUACGAUGGUCGACCAUCUUUCAAAUUUUAUCUGGGCUCUUACGGGAGCCAGAUCCCUGACAAACUCCUACCGCAAGCAGUCUACUCCGAACUUCUAUCGCAAGCAGUCUACUCCGAACUUCUACCGCAGGCAGUCUAC
rnacentral:lncRNA from 1 species